AUUGAACGCUGGCGGCAGGCCUAACACAUGCAAGUCGAGCGCGCGGGGGACGGGUGUGUAUUGUCAGUGAAACUGCCUGAUGGGGGGAGGUCACUACAGGAGCCCGUAGCUAAUAACCCAUCCCAUCAGACGUGCCCAGAUGGGAUUAGCUGGUUGGUGGGGUAACGGCUCACCUAGGCGACGAUCCCUAGCUGGUCUGAGAGGAUGACCAGCCACACUGGAACUGAGACACGGUCCAGACUCCUACGGGAGGCAGCAGUGGGGAAUAUUGCACAAUGGGCGCAAGCCUGAUGCAGCCAUGCCGCGUGUGUGAAGAAGGCCUUCGGGUUGUAAAGCACUUUCAGCUGGGAGGCGUUACCCGCAGAAGAAGCACCGGCUAACUCCGUGCCAGCAGCCGCGGUAAUAC
rnacentral:rRNA from 1 species